UAUAGCUCAGUUGGUAGAGCAUGAGACACAAUCUCAGGGUUGUGGGUUCGAGGCCCACACUGGGCAAAA